rnacentral:lncRNA from 1 species
AUUUGGAAAGAAUCAAAUUUUGGAAAAGGUGUGAUAAUUGGCGUGCUGGAUGGUGGAGUUUUGCUUGACCAUCCUUCAUUCGGUGAUGAAGGAAUGCCACCUCCACCGGAAAAAUGGAAAGGAAAAUCUGAAUUUACAGCCUGCAACAACAAAAUAAUUGGUGGAAGGUCCUUCAAUAUUGAUGGAAAUAUGACCAAGGGAAAGGGGGUUGAGCCACCUAAUGAUGAAGAUGGACAUGGGACUCACACAGCUAGCACUGCUGCAGGUCGGUUUGUAAACUAUGCUGAUGUGCUGGGAAAUGCCAAGGGUAUGGCCGCAGAGAUGGCACCACUUGCUCACCUGGCAAUUUAUAAAGUAUGCUUCGGAGAAGACUGUG